GACCUAGACACAAUUAGCAUUUUAAUUUUUCCAUUCUCUCUCCAAAACAGACGCUUCUUCUCCUCCCUUACCUUUUCUUCAAAAAUUCCAUUGUUGCCCAGCCAUGGCAGACCUGCCAUUACCAUUUUUGAACAAGAAGCUUUGCACCUCAUUUAAUUUUCGUCAAUAUCAAUGUUCAAGAGCUUUUCACUCAAUUUCGAAAUCUCGCCUAAACCAAGAACCCUAGAAAUCAGCCUAUAAAUACCCGCCUUUGAAAAGAUUUUCGACCAAGCUGAGAGCCACCCCUUUUACCCCAAAUAUUGAAGGUCUUUAGUUGUUGCCUUCACCUUUUGAGACCAAACUUAGAGCCGCCUCUCUUCCCCUCUAUAAAUUAUCAUAUGCUUAUUAACUGUUAUUUAUCUCAGAAAAGCUUCAUUCUUUUUUACUCCCCAGCUAUUUAUGUUGGGUAUUUACCCUUGCAUAAAAUCGAUUAUCUUCAUUUAUUUUAGUCGAAUAUGCAUUUGUCUGAGAUGAAAGAGUGGUCUCAAAAUCAGAGUUCGAUAACGAAUCUAAGAUCCAUGCCUCGGUUCGCUGCUCCGCAACAGAGUCUUAAUUUGAGACUCGUAGUGGAGUCUCAUAGAGACUCAAUGUUACCCCAUCACAACAUGGAGUCGUUGCAUACCAUCUUCCUUAGAGCACCGGAUAGUGAAUAAAACAAGCGAAUCGCUUGGGAUCGCCUAUGGCGGCUUUGUUUUCUACUUAUUCUGUCUGAUGUUGUUAAUCUUUGUGAUUUGUUUAUUUGAACCUAUGAUUGAUAAUUAAUUUUAUCAUUUAAAAUUACAACUUUAAUUUUGGAAAAGUAUUUUAUUGAAAAAAGCA